GACGAACGCUGGCGGCGUGCCUAAUACAUGCAAGUCGAACGAGAGCGACCGGUGCUUGCACUGGUCAAUCUAGUGGCGAACGGGUGAGUAACACGUGGGUAACCUGCCCAUCAGAGGGGGAUAACAUCCGGAAACGGAUGCUAAAACCGCAUAGGUCUUCGAGCCGCAUGGCUUGAAGAGGAAAAGAGGCGCAAGCUUCUGCUGAUGGAUGGACCCGCGGUGCAUUAGCUAGUUGGUGAGGUAACGGCUCACCAAGGCCGUGAUGCAUAGCCGACCUGAGAGGGUGAUCGGCCACAUGGGGACUGAGACACGGCCCAAACGCCUACGGGAGGCAGCAGUAGGGAAUCUUCCGCAAUGGACGCAAGUCUGACGGAGCAACGCCGCGUGAGUGAAGAAGGUUUUCGGAUCGUAAAACUCUGUUGUUAGAGAAGAACAAGUGCUAGAGUAACUGUUAGCGCCUUGACGGUAUCUAACCAGAAAGCCACGGCUAACUACGUG
rnacentral:rRNA from 1 species